UUAUCCUUGCUCUCAGCCCUCCAAACCAAAUCCAACGGCUGAGAUUCGUCUACGUCAUCACGAGUUAAAAUUUAACUCCAGUAAAAUUUUAACUCCUGGAAUUUUACUCCCAGUAAAAUUUUUACUCCUACGAGUUAAAUUAACUCGCGAUGACGUGGAUGAAUCUCAGCCGUUGGAUUUGGUUUGGAGGGCUGAGAUCUACGCUGU
rnacentral:pre_miRNA from 1 species